rnacentral:other from 1 species
AUUACCCUACUGUGUGCGUGGACACCUUGAAGUUUUAAACCAACACAUUGACAUUGGGAGCCCGGUCUCUGGUUGUGGCUGUAGACCUUUGUAUUGAAGGUAACAUAAGUAAUCAGGAGGACACCCACUUAUUUAGCUAAGGUUCAAGAAACUUUGGGGUUUACGGCACUUGUGGGGUGAUU